rnacentral:rRNA from 1 species
AGUGAACGCUGGCGGUAGGCCUAACACAUGCAAGUCGAACGGCAGCACAGUAAGAGCUUGCUCUUACGGGUGGCGAGUGGCGGACGGGUGAGGAAUACAUCGGAAUCUACUUUUUCGUGGGGGAUAACGUAGGGAAACUUACGCUAAUACCGCAUACGACCUACGGGUGAAAGCAGGGGAUCUUCGGACCUUGCGCGAUUGAAUGAGCCGAUGUCGGAUUAGCUAGUUGGCGGGGUAAAGGCCCACCAAGGCGACGAUCCGUAGCUGGUCUGAGAGGAUGAGCAGCCACACUGGAACUGAGACACGGUCCAGACUCCUACGGGAGGCAGCAGUGGGGAAUAUUGGACAAUGGGCGCAAGCCUGAUCCAGCCAUACCGCGUGGGUGAAGAAGGCCUUCGGGCUGUAAAGCCCUUUUGUUGGGAAAGAAAAGCAGCAGGUUAAUACCCCGCUGUUCUGACGGUACCCAAAGAAUAAGCACCGGCUAACUUCGUG